rnacentral:tmRNA from 1 species
GGGACUGAUUUGGUUUCUACGUAUUGAAUUUUUUCUUGGGUUAAAGUUCACUUAAUUAUUUCAUUGUUUUCAGAUAUUAAAUUUGUAAACGCAAAACAUAACAUAGUAGUUUUUUCUAAAAAUUUAGUUAUUAUCUAAGUAUUUAGUAUAUUUAUUUAUUUUUCUCAAUAUAAUUUGAUAUAUUUUAUGAGAUGCUCUUAUUGUAAAUAUUUAAAAUUAUUAUUAAAUUAUUUAAUAAGUUAAGUGUUAAACAAUCAUAAUAUUUUCUAAUAUAUAAGCUAAUUUAUUAGCGUGACUUGACCUUUUAUAUCAAUACGGACGUGGGUUCGAUUCCCGCCAGUUCCA